AGCAGGCUCUUGGCGCUGAAUACCUGUGUGAUUGAGCAGAAAGGUUAGAGUACUAUCUAAUUGUGCUGGCUCUGGGAGGAAGGAAAUACCAAACCUGACUGAAUAUAACCCUUCCUGCAGAUAGCUGACAACCUGUGACAAGAGUCAGUAAGCAGACACAAGCAAGCAGGCUUUCCAGGUAGACAUAAUGAGGUAGGAGACUUCUGGACUUGCAGCUAAAUUUGACUUCAGGAUGCUUUCCCUCAACACCUGGAUUGGCCAGAAGAUAUCUGCCAUGUGCUUUGGCUCUGAAUUAUUAGGCUACAGAGAUGGCUCUAGCCAUGUUUGUGAAAGCAGAACUGAGCUCAAGGCAUUCAGAAAUAGUGACAGAACAUAAAACCUAAUGAUGGCCCACCUCCCCUUUUAUUUGAAAGCAAUCAUCUUCCAGCACUCAGAAACAGCUGAAAAUAUUCUCCUUUACUUGACCACACAGCUGAGCAAUUGCACAUUGUAUGGGAAAACGCCUCUAAAUAUUUGUAUUGCAGCCUGCAGGCUAGAAUGGAAGCAGGCUUCUGGAUCAGGAUGAAGAGCUUUGAACAGCCAUGAUUUUGUUGUCAAUAACACGAAUGUGAUGCCAGGAAUAACAUCACAUUUAUGCCAGGCUCAGAACCACAGCCUGAGGUUUUCAAAAGAGCAUUGGUCUAAUUUAAGUCGGCAUUUCAGAGCUCUCAGCUCUAAGUUUAGAUAGCUAUGCAACCAUCUGUAUUAUGUAUCUUACAACUAAAUCAAAUCUUUGAGAGACUAAGACUGCAGAAAGCAAUAUGAAAAUAUGAUUCAAAUACCACGGGUUUCAUCUCAGGUGUUGCCAAACCUAGCAUUUGUCAAGGCUGAAAUGUGCACAUAUCCACUAGAAAGGCUUCUGCAAAGCUAUGGAUGAUUAGCAUCUCUGACAAUCGGACCAAGUGUCUAUUUUUUGGUUUAUAUCCAGACUUGGCUCCAAGUAUUGAGUUUGCUGAGGCUUUAAAGGUUGUUAUUGAAUCAUUGCUGCCUUAAAAUACACAGUACUCCAUGUUUCGUGGCACAUAUUUCUUCACUGUACUUACUUGAUGCUGCAGCUGCCACAGAUGAAUAUGCCGGGUGGAUACUGCUAGAGCCUAAAAACAAGAGAUUUGUCUUUCAGGUAUUGAACCAAAAAAGCAAUGCUGAUGAAUGAGAAUAAAUGAAGGGAAGAAGAAAAGACUGAGGAAACCUGGAUGUGCAAAAAUCAUUAGAGAAGAACUCCUUUAGGGUGUUUUCAUCUUUAAAAUUCAAGAGUUGUUACAGAAACAUAUACUACAACUCUCACUCAUUGGGAAGUUAUCACAAAAUUAAUUCUAAACAGAGUCUUGAGCUAUUUUUUGAACUCUCAGUCCAGGUAUAUGAAUUGAAGAAAUAUUUGUUGACUAUUAUAUCUGAAAAUAACAAAAACAUUUGGGGAUGAAGAGUUUACUCCCACAUGAAACAGCUUAUAUGUCAGUAUAUUAUAGGUAGAGAUAAGGACUAGCCAUAAUUGCAUUGUGUACUGCAGAUGAACUAAGUUAAAUAUAACCACUCUUACCUCAGAGAAUCUACACACGUUGUUUGAGUGUAUAAGAAACACACUAAUUUUGUAUGUAUCUCAAAGUCAAUACUGCAAGUCUAACUCCAGACCAUCUGCUGGAAUGAAUUUCUUUAUCCGCUAUUUAUAUUUCUACAUUGAACUGCUGAAUACAUGUUCACGAUCUACUAAAUAAUGGCAUAUUUAACUUCAUGUCUUCUUCCUUAAAUUUUAGGAAAACUCCAGCUUCAGGGAAAAAAAACCCAAUGCUUCAUAGUUCAGGCUACUGACCUGUAUCUCUAACUCUAUGCAGUGCAGGUCGAGACUUGGCUGCAGCUGCAACUGUUGCGGUUCUGGUUGUCACAGGUGUUGUAGUUGGUUUUGGUGUUGUGGUGAAAGGGUCUGUUGUUGUGGUCAUCUGUGUUGCGGUUGUCAUGGCAAUUUGUGUAGUUGGUACUGGAGAUGUCUGGUACUCUUUGUGGACUGUAUUGCCUUUAAGAACAUUGGAAAAAAUCAGUGCAUGGCAUUAGUCGGGUGUAUGACACACACAUGGAAGCAUCAUUAAUAGUGCUCACUGUUUAAAGAAACCAAGAGACUGGCAUUUUCUUCAGGAGUUCUACAAGCAUCAUCAUCUUUGGAUCCAUUAGUGCCUUCAUUGCUGGGUAGAUAUACAGUGCACAUGCCUGUGUGACGCAGUAUUACACUGCUCUCUGGAGAGCGCUGACAGCAACUGGUCAUAACCCUAAUGUUUCCCCUACACUUUCUCCACCUCGGACAGGAAAACCUAUAAACCUGAUUGAUGUCUCAGAGCUAUAGAUUGGUUCAAACAACCAUUUGCAGUUGCAGUUUCUGUUUUGUUGUCAUCUUUUCUCAGUGUAAUUAGGCAAUUAGAAAAUCCAUAUAAAUGGAAAUCUACUGACAUCUGGUAAUAAAAGAUGGCAACUUCUGAGUCAUAGACUGGAAUAAGAUAUGUACUACCUACUACAGCACUGAAAUGCUUUUGGAUAAAUGACAACUUUUAGAAAAUAAAGAUUCAGGGAGCUGGUCUGCACCAGAAUGGAGAGCAUUACAGCUUUGGCUGGGGCGAGCAGGGGAGAGGAGAAUCUUUGAGAUGCCGAUUUCAUCCUAACUUUGACUCAACUCACAGUUGAUGCUACUUUUAAAGUUUAUCAUCUGUUGUGAGAGGAAGAGACAAUUCUAGUUGCAAAAAUGCACAUCCUAAAUAUCCUUAUACAAAACUGGUGACAUGCUUACCGUUAUUUCAAGUCAUUAGCUUAAGAAAAAAAGCCUUCACUGUUAUCUUUUCCAUCUAUCUACAAAAAAGCUGCCCUAAAAUAUAUGCCAUGUUCACUUCAGUCUUGUUCCUUUCCUCUCCACCCAUAUCCCCAGGCAUGGCCUGACAGCCUGACAAACUGUGUGCACUGAAAGGGAAUGGUGUGUCUUUAUGCAGUUUAUUCAUUGCUGCACAGCACAAGCUUGUAUUUUAUUUCUGGAUGUUCUCCUUUUGGAAAGCAUCAUCAUGAAACUGUCCACUGGAUUAAUUACUGCCUAAUGCUAGCCAGUGAAAAAUGCAGAUCUCAGGCAGUUUUAAUGGGAUAAUGCUGAAAGAGGGGUUGGAAGAAAAACAAAACAACUCAGCUGAAAAAAUCAAUCUGAAUGGCUCUCUUUUGGCUGAACUGUGCCCUGGUCUACGCUGGUGCACUAAAAUAAAGACUAGAGAGGGCACAGUGAUUCUUCCCAUGCAAUCUGGUGCUGCAGAAACAGGGAGCAGGGGGUAUCUGUGGUCUCUAUACCCUAGGCUGCAAGGAGUAAAGAAGCCUGGAGCUAACAAUAUAGCAGAAAAAACAGGGACAAGCAAAUAUCAUAUAAAAAGCAGAGACAAGAUACUGCCUUGGCACACGCUGGCUGGGACUCUGGCAGAGCCUUUAGGGCGACAAAAGUGCUUGUGAGGGCUGGCCCUUCUGAGUGCUCCAGCAGGCAGGAUGUCCACCUCCACUGUAAUGUCUUCACAGGGUUUGCAGGACACAUUUUCUGUGUAGGAAAUAGCUGAGAGCUGUAAUGCAGGCUUUCAAAAGUCAUGACAUGUGAACUUGCCCAAAACAUAGGCAGAAGCUAAGCUGUGAAGGUGCCCUCUCUUCUCCGAAUUGUCACAUGCCCUCAGGCCCAGGUCCCAGGAGCUCCUGUGGGGGCUGCAUGCGGCAGUAGAGCUGUAUGUGUUACCUGUUUGAAACUACCUCCUAUAUAUUCCUAUAAUCAUUUGCAGGCAGAUUAGGCUGGGAGGGAUAAUGUAAUUGACUUUGGAAAGCAGCGCCAGGAUCCCCAAUCCAUACCUUGUUCUGAGGUUUUUUCUGAAGCAUUCGAGGUGCUGGCAUUCUUCAUAGCUUUUAUGUCUUGUUCUGACUUUUUAGGCUCUGAAGCAUAAUUAAGCACGUUAGGAAAUGCAGCUUUGGGAGAAAAUAAUUUCAAGUCUCUUAUUUAGAGAUUAUCAGUCCUCAAAUGGAGGCAUCCCAUUGCCUAGCUUAGAAAGGCUAGUCAGUCUCAUCAGAGCUUUCUCGACAGAUGGGAAAAAGUGAUGGUUGCCUCUGGAGAACCGUCACCCCCUACUUCUGGUGCCUAAGUUAGAUGUCUGAAUUAGGUAGUACCAGCCAAAAAGCUCCUGCCAAUGUCAGUAGAACUUCAGAAGUGAGCAAUAAACAUGGGAUUUUGUCACUGAUAAAACCAAACUCAUAAGAUUAAUUCAUCAUGUUGUUGAUUUUUCUUCUGAGUAGCAGUGUCCUGAGAAUCAGGGUCACAGUGUGUGCAGGGUGUUUGGUGAACACUGGCUGGCAUGUGAUAGUUCAGUAACUAAUUCACAUUCAGAUACAGUUCUUUAUGUCUGACGUUGUCAAAUCAUCAUGGGGCCAAAUACUGAAUUCCAAGCACUGGCUUAGAAGGAAAGAUUUUUCUUCAGUCUUUUCUUCUUCUAAGACCCAGAGUCAUCAAAGUAUUUGGAAUGUUUAUUAUAGUUCAGUUAUCUCUACCCUGCAACAGAGUUUGUCUAUGCUUUUAGAUCUGACUGAGUACUGGAGGUUUUUGAUCUUAUAUUUUUUUUCUCUUCUCUAGCUAUUUUGGCAGCAUUGACCUAUUUUAGAAAUUACUCCAGGGUUAACAGUUUCCUAUUAAUUUGGAUUAUUUUUUAAAACAGCAGCUGUUGGUUGUUUUUACCAGCUGUGAAUUGUAAUUCUGGGAAGGUUUUUCUUGCUAUACCCAGUGUUUGGAGGGCAUCAGCAACAUUUAAAGAAAUGUCGGGCACUAAGAAUCUGCAGUGCCCCUGGGACCAGGACCAAAAUUGCAUCUCAGACGGCUGAUGAGAUGUGAAGCAAGAUUUUCCACUAAUCUGACAGUGAGUGACCAUAAUCCUCAAAGGACUCACUUUAGCUCCUGGAGAUAAUGAGUUUAAGUACCCAGCUGUGUAAUGUGGUCUCUAGAACUUAAAUCAGAAUUUUAAAAGUAGCUUUUAAUUAAAAAAAAAAAAGUAGGAAAUCCUCUAUCACAAGAUGGCUCUAGCACCACAUUACAGAGAUCUUAUAUUAGGAACAAGCUGUUUCUAGCACAGCGGGGCCGAGAGGGCUGGGCUGGGGUGGUGAGGCCAAGAAGGUCUCAGGGGAAGGUUGAUUCUGGUGGUCAGAGCUCUUUAUUGCUUGUGGGACAGGGCUGUGGAGUCCUCAAGUGCUGCAUUUGAUAAAACAGAUAUUACUUGUUCCUACAGUCAUCCUGGGUUUUCACUGCACAAAUGCACAGUUUUUGUUGCUAGGAUCCUAACAUUUUCAUUCAUGCUAUUUCAUUCAAGGACAAAGUGAAGGAAGCUGCUAGCAUCUUUGGAUUGCUGCAGGCACAGUCUUUGGAUAUUUUGUUUGCAUAACUGAGAUGUGAUUUGAGAAUGCUCCCCAUUCCUACACUAUUUCUCAUGUAAUGUGGGUUUUAGCACUUGUGGAAGAAAUCAUUGCUUGCAGCCAGCUGAGCACUACCUUGGCUGUGAUAGUGCCUGGUUUGGCGUGAUACAUUUGGGCUGAUAUUUAGAGUGUGGGCACAUUCAAGAAUGAAGACGUCUGUUUUCAGUGAACUUUUCCUGGAAAAAGAUGAAAUUUCCAAGAUAUUGCCUCCCUUCUAGAGGAGCUUAAUAUUUGGGUCAGUGAUUUCUAUGUGCCUAGUCCAGGAGCAUGUAUGAAUCUGUAUGUAUUUGACUUUAAAUGCAAAGGUACUGCAAGCUGAAAGCAUGGAUUUGAGUGAUGCACAUUCAGUCUGAAAAACUACAGUACUCAGAUGUAAAAGUGCCUUUGAGCAAGUAAAAGCAUAAAUAUGAGGAAAGAGCUUUACGAUUUACCUCCAUAGACCAAACAAUAAUGAAGAGGUGAACGGCACAGAUUCCAAGUUAUCUCUAUGCAACCUUGGAUGGAUACAACCAGUGGCAAGUGUUUGAGUCCAUGGAGAAGCUACAGCACCUUUCGUUAUACCACAGCUCACGGUGGAUCAGCUCAGUAAGGUUCAGGCUCAGCAAAGAAGAGCCGUGAUAGCUAGGAACCGCUAAUAGGGAAGUAUGGUACUAUAAAACAUUAAUUUUGCUUUCAGUUGCACUCCCAAGGAGUCUGGAUUAUACUGUUGUUACAGGAAGCACAAACAAGUGGCAUUUCGGUGAUGAAGACCCUUCAUGUACACUUGAAUAUCAACUACCACCUGGUGUGAGAUAUGAUCAAAGACCUUUCAAAACAACUAAAUUAUUUAAACUGAGUUGAGUCUGACAGAGUAGGAUGCAAGCUAAAAUGGUUAUGCAGAGUUGGUCCUUAUCAUAUUAUCCUUAGCUAAGGCUGCUGUAAAUUGCCAUCUCUAUCAUUAAUAUUCUAUUAUUAUAUAUUAUUAUAUUCUCCACAUUGAAUAUCCCAAGAGAUAACAUGAAUAACAUUAGGAGAAAGUCAACGUGUAAAAUCUGAAAUGAUUCCAUAUAUCCGGUAAAACAUCAUACUUUCAAACAGAUUUGAAGCAAGGGGGGAACUACUUAGGAACAGAAGUUCUGUGGAAAAAUAGAACAAAGCCAGCAAAUAUCUGGAAUAAUUUUCAUAUACUUAACAUAAAAACUAUGAAGAGGGAUUUGGAUGAGAUAUUAACACUGAUGAGCAAAACAGAUGCAUUAACUUCAGACUCUGAACAAUCAAAUCUUUGUAUUACACGACUGAGACACUACGACAGAUAGGUACGAAUGGAUUCGAGAGAAGGUCAGUCAAAAAUACUUGCCUGAUUUAACAACUGUGCUUUUUGAAGAAGAAUAUUCAAGAGUUGAUGGGUACGUCACACCUUUCCUUGGCUUGCCCUCUACAAAAAAUCAUUAAUAUCACAAAGUAAAGUCAUGGUCACAGAAGAGAGACAAGUACUUCAAACAGCUAAGGAGUGCCACAAUACAACAGGCAAAUGUGUGGCUCACUUUUGAAGAACUGUAAGUUUUUUUACACCAAAACUCCCAUCUAACAUGUAAGUGCAGAAUCAGACCCUGCUUCUCCACCACCCAACUCAUUUUCUUUAAAAUUUCCUUCCUCUCACAGUAGGAUCUCAAAACCAUUCCACUAAAAAUACCAAUGCCUAAAUUGAGCAUCAUAAAAAAAAAGCAAAAAAAAAAAAAAAAAAAAAAGCAUAAAAAUACAGGCCUGGGAGCAUCUUGAAGAGGUUAGCUAGUUCAUUCCUUUGCUCUCAGGCAGUGUUAAGUAUAAGGACAUUUGUAUAACCUGUACUUAAACCCACAGCCUUCAUAGGUAGCCUUUUGCAGUGCCCGACUAUCCAGUUGAGUUAGAAAAUGUGUUUGAUGUGGGAUUCCUUUCUUCAGGCACACAGCAUUCUUUUCUAACCUCACUUUUGUGAUAUGCCAUUUCUGGCAACAGUCUUUUGCAAUAAUAACAGUGAGAGAAGGCUGCAUUUGUGUGUGGGAGCAUGUGACAGCUGUAUUUAGAUCUAAAAUGAAGGUCCGGUCUUAAAACAAUGAGGUGCAUUUCCCAGUUAAGCUCAAAACCACAAAUCUUCUUAGUGCCACACCGGAUGCCAUUUCCAUCGGCACGUGCAGCCAUGCAGUUCCAUCUCAUGGGCCAGUUUUUAUAAUCCUAAGGCAUAUCUGCACCAGUGAAUGAAAAUGCUGCAGCAAAGCCCAGGGAACUGAAGACCACUCUGGCCUCUAGAAGCUGUUUGCAACUCAUCUGUGGGAGCUUGGAUGUGGUGGACAUGGGACUUCUGCACCCAACUGACUCUCUACGAGAUGCUGCGCUGUGUCAUAUAUCUGUGCUAGCUCAGGUUAGACCUACCUCUCCCUCCAGCUCCUGGAAACCCUGAGUAGUGGUGCUCAGUGUGAGUUUCCCUUAUUCCCACAGUGGAUUCUUUUAGAUCUGUGUGUAUGGCACUGUACGCAUGACAGCUGUCAUCUUAGGUGAUCAGUCUGGAGACCAACAGCAUUGAAGAGAAUUAGUUGCUACAGACUGAAGCAUACUUGGAAACUCAGAGAUCUUUCCUCUGUGGUGGCACACAGUGAAGGACGUGUGUCUGUGGAGCUGGCCCUCUAUAUGCAGGAAUGACUGUGCUCAUCCCUGGACUGUCCUAAUUCCCAGUUCUGUCCCUUUUUAUAUCUCUAGAGCCUUUACUUUUCUUCUUUCUGAAGUUUUAGAUGUCAUUAAACUUCCUAGGUGAAGUUGUUGAUUUGAGAGUUAAAGUGAUUUAGUAACAAGGUGAUGGUGUAAGGAUCUAUUCUACUUCUUCUUUAUAGAAAUAUAAACCGAGAGUAGCCCCACUGAAGUCAAUGUAACUCCAUUGAAGACAAAAGCUGGCAAAUUAACAUGUAGGCGCAUGCCACCUUCUUGUGGAAAAGAGCUUCUCCCUUGCCCUGACAGAACCUGGCCUAACUGAAAGGCAGCAAGUCUUGACUUCCACUUCCCCCUGAGCUUUGAACAUAGCUAAAACUGGGUUCAGGAUCUUCUGUUUCUUGCAGCAGCAAAGUAGGAUUAGGAAGCCCUUCUGCCAAUGUGGUAGGAAACUGAAAAAGCUAUUGAUAACAGACGAUUACUAAAAGCAUUUCUUCAUCUCUCACAGAGGUAGAAUUGUCAGAUGUAUGAGGUUGUCACAUGGAUGCAGCAAUAAUGUAAUAAUCAUAUCUUAAUUUAGAAUCUCUCCCUGCUAACCUGGCUUCUAACGCAAAUCUGAAGCCUGCCAUUGUGCAAAUAAGCAGGAAGGGAUGGGGAGGAUGGCUACUCCUGAGCUCUGGGGGUUUUGAUAAACAGCAGCUUGGGUCCCAUGUGUGGUCCAGAGCUAGGUCUGAGACCUGGACUGAGUGUGGCCCUACUUUCUGAGCAAUGGUAAUAUGUCCUUUCCAUUGAUGUAGCAUCUGGAAGAAGUUGCAUCUAGGCCAGACUUUGCUUAACAUGCCUACAAAUGGGCUACAUGUGGGUUGAAAACCUCAACUUCUGCCUGUUUGAAGUACAAGCGAUGAGGUGGUGGCUGUUCACCCUCUCCAGCUUAUUUGUAACUAGCAAACCCAGAGGUUUAGGACUCUAUUUUCUUAACCCAGGAGCUGCAAAACUCCCACUACACUGAAUGGAGUCAUUCAACUGAGUGCCAAGACAUUUCAGCGCUUGAAAGUGAAUACCAGUACAUUUGCAUACCUCCUGGUGUGCUCCCUGCUUUAAUCCCAGAGGACAGGCCUUGUCCCCUGCUGCUUCUAAAUCACACCACUUCAUUGCCUGGCUCCCCGCAGGAUUCCUCUUCAGUGCUCUUUUGUUUGGAUGCUUAUUCACAAUUUAACUAUCACAACCUCUCCGUGACAAUAUCCUAACUAGGAAUAAACUGUCAGCACUUUUCCAGGGUACAACAUCACAUACAUUUUUGAUCUGCUAAAAGAGAACUCGGCUGGAGGAUAGGUGACUCAGUUAAAACUCAAAAGCUGUCCUGAAAUUAAUGCUUUGGAUGAUUUUGUAUUUUUAUUGGGAAUCCUUUGACUCGUAAUUGUAAAAAAAAGAAAAGAAAAGAUCUUUUCUCCUUUUGAGAAUGAGAUCUGUCUGCCUUCAGCCUCAGGCUGAUGAGAUGAAUAGUACAGGAUUCCAGGGUUUUUAUUCUUCUAAAUUUCCCACAUAAAACCCCAUAUUUUCAGAAGGCACAGUGAGGAUUUCCUUCCUACCAAUAUAUUAUAAAUUAUAUUUGCUUUAAUGCUUGAACUAGUUUAUAAACCAAGUAGUUCCACUGACUUCAGUGGGACCACUCAACAUGAGUAAAAUUACAUGCAUGAGGGAGAAAUGUCAUCAUGCCUGUAUGUACCCUGAUUUCUCAUCUCACUUUGCAUGUGUUUGUAACUUUCCUCUGUCUCAUCUUUUAUAGUGACUCAUUAAUUAAGAAUUAAGAUUUGUUACUAUAAAUCGAAAAUUCCUACAGUUUCACAGGAUAGCGACUAAGCAGCUACCGAGGUAAAAAAAUCUUAUUUCCCAUUUAUGUACCAGAAUUACAAUGUGCCGUUUGUUGGGGAAAAAACAGCAACAAGUACAAGUAGCAAUUCAGCUGUUCCAGGAAAUUCGUACUCAUCCAAAAUAAAUCCCUCUCAUAAUGUGGUCUACCCAUGGCAGAAUGCUGUAAAAAAGUGCAUCCAAAUAUAUUAAUGCAGAUUCCAGAUGGCAGUUCACUUUGGUCAGUUUCUGAGACCAUCUUUGCUGUUCACAAAUUUUCACAUGAAAAGAACUUUUCUUUAUUUUUAGUGGCUGUUCGGUUGCUUGAACUGUUGAUUUUUCCAGAAGUGAUGUAGUUAACUAACAUUAGCUGGUCAUACCCAUCCUAAAUCCUCAGGAGAACUUUGGACCACAUGUAUGGAUGCUGCAAGAAGUUAGAUUUAGAAAUAGUACAUAAAGCAAUGUAAAUUAGGCCCUACUUCACAUGGGCAGAAUGGCUGCAAGUAGGUUUAAGAGAAUGUGAAAUUGGUGUAAAGGGGAUCUAACUUCCAAGAUAUUGUGAAUUUCACCAGUGACUCCAAGGUAAUAUAGUAUGUUGCUGUACAUUAUGGGGUGAAAAAGGAGUUAGUAUUAAAUUAAAGUGGAUUUCCUUGCACCGAGUGGAUACUGAAACUGUUUGGCUAACAGAGGUGAGGAGAACUCGCAACAUAUUUGGGUUACAUCAAUAUGAUUGUUUAAUAUAGGGUUCUGCAUAAAUACACUAUGGUUGUCUCUGGCUUGAGACGGGUGUAAAGUUUUUAAUUUAAAAUAUGUAGGUAUAUAAAUAAACUAUGCAUAUUUAAUUUUAAUAAGGAACUCAGAGAACCUGGGUCACUGUGGCCAAUAACUGUAGCGAAAAUGCAUUACUACAGUAGUGAAGGAAACCUUCGAAACCUAGAACAUGCUAGCCUACCUGCCUUUGCCAGGAAGCCUAAAUAUAUGGAAUAUGUCGGUCACUUCAGAGGACACUAACGUGGACGCAGACUGAGGGUAUUUCAAAUGGCCAAGAGGCCAUUUAGCCUCCUUACUGGCAAUAUUUACCAGAGAGGAGAGGAAGUGCAUUAAGAAGACCUGCACUUCAGUACUGAGGCCUUAAUUCCUUUCCCCAGAUUUUAAGUAUCAAUAGCAGGAGUCAAGAUGCCCCCACUAGUCAGUUCAGAAUGACUGUCAUCUCCAGAAGUGGACUCAGAUCUAAGACUGGUUGAAAAGCCCUCUCCAGCAGUGUGUACUUCUCUUCACUGGCUGUGUAGGAGACGCAGGAUUAAGAGGCUCCUGGCUCAAAUGCCUUAGUCAAAUUAUUCACCCUAAAGUUAGGUGGUGUGAACCUCCGGAGAAUAAACAGGUAUUUAAAAGAAGAACAGAACAACAGAAAGUUGCAGUUGUUUUUGUUCUCUUCUAAUAGAGUAGGUAGCUACAUUUUUUCAAAAGACGAGUAAGCCAUGCAGACUCAGGGUACCUGGGCAAGGGCUACUGCCGAGCUUUCCAGCUAACUGCUGAAAGGGGUCUGGCCCUUAGGGUGCCAGAGGUGAAGGAGGCAUUUUGCCUUUCCAGAGCCGAGGGCCCUGCGCAGAGGGAAGCUUUAUGGUGAACUGUUUUGCUUCCUGCUGCCUGUUCCUGACCUGCCCAUCUGACGGCUUUGGGCAGCCUGGCUGUGGACGUGGUGCUUUCCCGCAGUACCUGCAACGAGGAAGGACUCCCUCCAGCGCGGCAGCGACAGGGAUCGGACCCCGUUCGAGAAGCUCCCUCUGUAACCAGAAUGGCCAGCAACUUUCUGGACGAGGAUCUUCCCACCUGCGUUGUCAAUUAUACCACUGCAAGGGGGAAACACAGUAUCUGAAGGUGGAAAUUCUAUCAAAAAACAUAGAAACCAUUCAACAGUGCAAGAGGUAUGGUGUUUACUUUCUUUCUUUAAAACAGGAGUUAUAGUGAAGCUAUGAAGAUACAGCUAGGUCUGCUGCUAAUAAAUAUUUGUACUUCUUCAAUAUAGACAUCAGUUUGUUAUAAAGUACCAUUUGGGUCUGUUUGCUCUUCCUAUUUAUCUACUGGUUCUGUGUUUAAAUUUGACCUAGUUGCAGAGAAGAACAUUUUUCUACCUUCGUUAAAAUCCCUACAAGCUUCAUUGAACUACUGAAGACACAUGGAAAUGUAGUCAGAGGAGUUUUAGGGCCAGCCAUGCAGCAGAAACAAUUAGACAAAUAUGAAGCAAACCUCCCCCUUCUCCAACUUCUUGUUUUGUAAUAACUGGUUUUCUUUGAACUCCAGUAUAUGUGUUAUCCGCAGAAAAUUUUGCUUGGUUUUGAUCUCAGCCUGGAGUAAACUCAACAAAAUGUUACUGAAAGCUGUAGAAAACCUGACAGGCUGUGUGUGGUGCACAUUAAAUGGUUUCUGUCAUAUCUUGUCAUAUCUCAAGACAAACAAUAAACCUUCAGCGUACGAAACCUGACCGUGGCAUUUUUAAGGGAGUAUGAAAACCAAGAUGUGACUGCCACUAUAAAGGGAUAAUACAAUUGACAAAAAUUACAAGGUGCUGGAAAAUAAGAAAUGAACAGCAAAAAAUGGUGAAGAAUAUGUUAGAGAUGGAGAUUUCUCUUAUGAUUGCGAGAUGCUGUUGGUAAAAUAAUUGUAAGGAAAGGAGAUUCACUGUUUGUGGAAAAGCAACAUAUAAGCUAACAAAUCCAAACUCAGUUCGCAAAUGAAGAAAACUGAGACCCUCUACUCCAAAAAUGUAGGCAGCCAGCACUUGAGCUAUGGGUAUUCACUGCCAGUAUUUUGAAUGAAGGUUGUAACUUCCCUCUGGGGCAAGCUCCGCCAGCAGAGGCAUUCACGCAAUUUCCAUUGCGUGCAAGUGUCUGAAGGAAGAACUGGCUGGUUGUUGGCCAGUCACUUGACAGUCAUUUCUGCAGCAAACAGCUGAGCACGCAUGGUUGCAGCCAGGAGAUGGCAGCGGUAUACACACAGACAUGUCUAGCCACACAGCGUGCAGCGGAGAGGUAAGGCUUACGGAUACGAUUUGUGGCUACGCAGUCUCUCAUUACGUUCUGGUCCUCAAUGCAGGGACAGCUCAGAUGCCUCGCGAUAACCACCCCUUAUGGCAAAACAUUUUGUCUUCUUACAGGUUCAAGUAAGAACACAUACCAGGCAUUUUUAGUUAGGAAAACUAAAUGCUUUGCAUCUUCUUCCCAAUUUACAGAGAGUUUCCCAGAGCAACUAAAAGCUUCCCUUUAAUCUCAUCAGAUCAUACUGGAGUAGGUUACUACAUGGCUAGAGCAAUUCACAGGACGGGACUGAAAAGAGAGGGAGAAGAGAGAAGUUCCCAGCAGUGAUACUGCUCGUGUCACCUAAGAUUUACAAAACUCUUUUCCUUUCUCCCUCAAUGCUGCUCCAGUUCCCUAACACACUAUUAAGGGAAAUUGUUUUUCAAAUACAGUACAAAGUCCCAGAGUCUUAGCUAUUCAUGUUUACUCAAGAUCCUAUCUAUUUCAUAGAACUAGAAGCACUGCGAUAGCACUCAAAAUGAAGUCAAGAUGUCAGUCAGACUAUAUGAGUUCUUACUGUAUUUUCAGUUGGAUCUUAUGGUCUUUGCAUCCUGCCUAUAAUUGUUUUGUCUUGUUGGUGCCAAGUUAUUCUACAUUAAAGAUUUCUGCACAUUUUAACAUGGCAAAUAAAACUGUAAGAUGUGUA